rnacentral:rRNA from 1 species
AUUGAACGCUGGCGGCAGGCCUAACACAUGCAAGUCGAGCGGAAGAAGGGAGCUUGCUCCUGUGUUCAGCGGCGGACGGGUGAGUAAUGCCUAGGAAUCUGCCCGGUCGUGGGGGAUAACGUCCGGAAACGGGCGCUAAUACCGCAUACGUUCUGAGGGUGAAAGUGGGGGAUCUUCGGACCUCACGCUAUCAGAUGAGCCUAGGUCGGAUUAGCUAGUUGGUGGGGUAAAGGCCUACCAAGCCGACGAUCCGUAACUGGUCUGAGAGGAUGAUCAGCCACACUGGAACUGAGACACGGUCCAGACUCCUACGGGAGGCAGCAGUGGGGAAUAUUGGACAAUGGGCGAAAGCCUGAUCCAGCCAUGCCGCGUGUAGGAAGAAGGUCUUCGGAUUGUAAAGCACUUUAAGUUGGGAGGAAAGGGAGUAAGCUAAUACCUUGCUCUUAUGACGGUACCGAAAGAAUAAGCACCGGCUAACUUCGUG